UUUGCUGAUGAGGUAAUAGUUCUUCAUUGCUCUGUGUUUCUUGUGUAAAUAUUAUUUCUAAACUUUCAUAAUACUUUAAAAGUUAAAACAUUAAUGUUUUAGGUGUAAGUGAUGUGUUGUUUUAAGUAUUUUUUAUGCACAAUUUUGUUAAGUAAGGAUUAGAGUGUCGAAUGUUUGAAAUGUUUGGUCAUAAUUACACAUGGUAUUUACGCAGGUAUCACUCCGCCAAAAAAGUAGAGACCUGUGUAUGUGUUUCAUGUUUCCAACAAAGGAAUGACUGUUGUUUACUUCCUCUUCUAUCGGACUUUUGCUGAUGAGGUAUCACUCCGCCAGAAAAGUAGAGACCUGUGUAUGUGUUUCAUGUUUCCAACAAAGAAAAGUAGAGACCUGUGUAUGUGUUUCAUGUUUCCAACAAAGUCUGCGUCUCCCUCCGCUGCGGGACCACCCAGAGGACCCACUGACUGUGCACCCGUACACGAUGAGAGCAGCACGCCCACGCAGCUACAAGCCUGCAGACGAUUGCCUUACUACACACCUGGAAUUGAUGAGGUCGAGCUGCUUAAAAGACCAGUGGACCCAGGGAUCCUGGCGGGAACUUAGUUCUCAUAUGCAGUGUUUUCCUUCCGUUGCCCUGGAUGUCGACUGCCUCCCUCGUUCCUAGACUCCUCGCUCGCCCCCGGACUCUGACGCCUCUCUCUCGCCCCUGAUUCUGUUGCCCCGUGGACUUCCUCGUUCCUUCGCUCUUGUCAACACUUUGGCGGUGUCUGAUCCCGACUGCAUCCUUGAGAGAACGACUCCGCAUCACCAUGCGCCCAAAUCGUUACACUGGUAAGACAAUUAUGGCCGCCAGUUUUUUUUGUUUGUUUGUUUGGCGCAUUUCCGGAACAAUACCCGUGUGAACUGGCAGCAUACAUGAUUCCUGUCGAGGGACGCACGAAUGAAAGAGCACACAAAACACACAAACUGACAGAAUAACAAAAGCACACAUUGCGGUCGAUUAAAGUUACAGUACGGAACAACUACUAAACUGAUAUUUUAGCACAGCAUGGGAAUCGUCCUGGCUGGUCGUCAAUAUCAUUGACCGGGAAUUGAUUAACGUGGACCCCGACUUAAACAAGUUGAAAAACCUAUUCGAGUGUUACCAUUUAGUGGUCAAUUGUACGGAAUAUGUACUGAACUGUGCAAUCUACUAAUGAAAGUCUCAUUCAAUCAAUCAAUCAAAAACCCUCUUGCAAUACAACGUACCUUCAAAUUUUUCCCACAUUUUUUUACAUACUGUUGCUUUAAGCAAGUGAUUAUACACCAUAAGGCCAAAAGUAUUUGGCCACCCAUCCAAAUGAUCAGAAUCAGGUGUCCUAAUCACUUGGCCCGGCCACAGGUGUAUCAAAUCAGGCACUUAGCAUGGAAGACUGUUUCUACAAACAUUUGUGAAAGAAUGGGCCGCUCUCAGUGAUUUCCAACGUGGAACUGUCAUAGGAUGCCACCUGUGCAACAAAUCGGCUUUAUUAUAAGAACAUUGAAGAUUUUGGGAACAACAGCAACUCAGCCCCCAAGUGGUAGGCCACAUAAACUGACAGAGAAAGUUCAGCGGAUGCUGAAGCUCAUAGUGCAAAGAGGUCGCCGACUUUCUGCACAGUCAGUUGCUACAGAGCUCCAAACUUCAUGUGACCAAUGGCAAACUGAAAUGAACGCAUACUUAAAGGCCUACUGAAACCCUACUACUACCGACCACGCAGUCUGAUGGUUUAUAUAUCAAUGAUGAAAUAUUAACAUUGCAACAAAUGCCAAUACGGCUUUUUUAGUUUACUAAAUUACAAUUUUAAAUUUCCCGGGAGUUUCGUCUCGGAAACGUCGUGUAAUGAUGACGUGUAAGCAGGUUUUUAGGAAGUAUGAGCGCUACGCACACACACAGGUAAUAGUCGUCUGCUUUAACGGCAUAACUACACAGUAUUUUGGAGAUCUGUGUUGCUGAAUCUUUUGCAAUUUGUUCAAUUAAUUUCGGAGAAGUCACAGUUGAAAGAUGGAGUUUGGGAGCUUUAGCCUUUAGCCACACAAACACAUGGUGAUUCCUUGUUUAAAAUUCCCGGAGCUGAAACUUUACUAUGGAUCAGAGCGCGGUCAAGCGAACAUGAAUCACGACGGUAUGUCAACCAGCAGGUUUCGGUGAGAAAAUUGUGGUUAAAAAGUCGCCACUUACCGGAUAUCAGCUGAGCUUGUGUCGUCCGUACAGCUGCCGUCGACACCCGUGAGACAUUAGCGUCAUCACAUCCGUGGACACAACCCUCCGACUAUCAGGUACUGUUAAACUCACUAAAACACUAGCAACACGAUAGAAAGAUAAGGGAUUUCCCAGAAUUAUCCUAGUAAAUGUGUUUAAAAACAUCGGAAUAUGUCCCAAUGCUAUCGCGUAUUUUUUUUUUAACUGUUUUUUUUUUUUUUUUCCUAGUCCGUCGCUAUCAAUAUCCUCGAACACAAAUCUUUCAUCCUCGCUGAAAUUAAUGGGGAAAUUGUCGUUUUCUCGGUCCGAAUAAUUGUUUUUGUUGGAGGCUCCCAUUAAAAUCAGUGUGAAUAUGUGAGGAGCCCCCACACUUGCGACGUCAUCGUCUGCGACUCCCGUUAAAGGCGAGGCUUUUUCAGGAAGUACCAAAAGUGGCGAACUUUAUCGUCGAUUUUCUCUACUAAAUACUUUCAGCAAAAAUAUGGCAAUAUCGCGAAAUGAUCAAGUACGACACAUAGAAUGGACCUGCUAUCCCCUGACAGUUUGUCUAUGUUUUAGUUUUUUCCUCUGCAUUUGUCUUUGUUUCCUUUGUGUUUAGUAUCUCCUGUCUUUAGUUCCUGUCAAGUGCUCAUAUUUUGGUUCAGCUUCCUGUUUGUCUCCUUGUGUGCUGUUGUCACCUCGAUUGAUUGAUUGAUACUUUUAUUAGUAGAUUGCACAGUACAGUACAUAUUCCGUGCAAUUGACCACUAAAUGGUAACACCCCAAUAAGUUUUUCAACUUGUUUAAGUCGGGGUCCACGUUAAUCAAUUCAUGGUAAUCAUCUGCGGCUGAUUGGCACGUGGCCACACCUGUAGUCAAUCAGCCCGCUCCUAUUUGUACCCACUUUGUCUUCCAGUCAGUGCUGGAUCAUUGUCGUUGCCACAUGUCGCUCCUGUCGUUGCUGUCAUGUCAAUGUCAUUUUCUACUUGUCAUUCCUACUGGUCGUGUGAA